rnacentral:rRNA from 1 species
UACGUAGGGUGCAAGCGUUGUCCGGAAUCAUUGGGCGUAAAGCGCGUGUAGGCGGCUAGAUAAGUCUGCUCUGAAAGCCCGGGGCUCAACCCCGGGAGGCGGGUGGAUACUGUCUAGCUCGAGUCCGGAAGAGGAGUGUGGAAUUCCUGGUGUAGCGGUGAAAUGCGCAGAUAUCAGGAGGAACACCAAUGGCGAAGGCAGCACUCUGGGACGUGACUGACGCUGAGACGCGAAAGCGUGGGGAGCAAACAGG